rnacentral:rRNA from 1 species
AUGGAAAAGUAUCCUACAAUGUAUUGGACACCUUGUGCUGCCCACUGCUUGGAUCUUAUGCUAGAGGACAUUGGGAAGAUCAAAGAGUUCAGCCGUUGCAUUGCUAAAGCAAAGAGAACAACCAAAUUUAUUUAUGCCCAUGGAAAGGUUCUUGAUUUAAUGAGAAGCUUGAAUGGUAAGCAUGAAAUUCUGAGGCCUGGAGCAACUCGUUUUGCUACGUCAUUCCUUACUUUGGCAAGCAUGUGUAAGCAAAGGCAAACCUUGAAAACUCUCUUUGUUAGCCCACAAAUGGUAUGCAAACAGAUUAAAGGACAGCGAAGGAGGGAAGGCAGCUGA